ncrna:unclassified sequences PhotoRC-II RNA
UAAUCCUUGUAACACGCCUGACCGAGACUAAACAGCGUGUAUAAACAACAGUCUCUCAUACCAACUCUGGAGGGUAGAGUUGGAAUAUUUUACCUA